GUGCAACACUCAUCACUAAUUCUGAAUGAUACUGAAGUGAGUGGAAUCAGGUUUGCUAAAAUAACUGCUGUGAUAAAAGCGCAUCACCUUCAGAUACUACUGAGGUUGCCUACUCUAUCCUAGUAUCCCU
ensembl:snoRNA SNORA66 Small nucleolar RNA SNORA66